rnacentral:rRNA from 1 species
UAUAAAUAACUUGUUAAUUUAAAUGAUGAAUAAAGAAGUAUGAAAAAUAUUUUUUAUUACAAUUUGUUAGUAAUUUUAAUUGAAAAAUAAUUAUAAACUAGAGUAUAAAGUACUGUGGGGGAAAGUUAAUAAAAUUUUUUAUAGUAAAAGUGAAAUUUUGUGCCUUGUGUAUCAGAAAAAAUUUAUAUAAUUCAAUUAUUUUGAAUAUCUCGAAAUAAAAUAUAGUGAUUUUUAUAAAAUUUUUUUUUUCGAAAAAAAAAAUUUAAUGUAAAAUUAAAAGUGAAAUGCUAGUUGAGUUUUAUUAUAUCUAGUUUUUUUAAAAUAAAUUAAAUUUGAUUUUUGCAUUCAAUUAUUGUAAAAUUUAAUGGUAGGAGGGAUUAGCUUCUUAUGAGAUGAAAAUAAAAUAGCGAAGUAAAAUAAAAUAAUAUAAAUUAGGCUUAGAAGUAGUCAUAUUAGAAAAGUGUUUUAACUAAAUUAUAAUUAUUAAAAUAUUUUUAGUAGCUUUUUUAUAAUAUGAAAAAAUUUAUUAAAAUUGUUAAGUUUAGAUAAAAUGAUUUUAUUAGUAAAAUUUAUUGAGAAUAAUAAU